rnacentral:misc_RNA from 1 species
AUGGAGGAGAGAAUCUCUUUUUUUUUUUUUUUUUUUUUUUUUUUUUUUUUUUUUUUUUUUUUUUUUUUUUUUUUUUUUUUUUUUUUUUUUUUUUUUUUUUUUUUUUUUUUUUGUUUUAUUUUAUAGUUUUUUUUUUUUUUUUUUUUUUUUUUUUUUUUUUUUUUUUUUUUUUUUUUUUUUUUUUUUUUUUUUUUUUUUUUUUUUUUUUUUUCCAAGGGGGGGGGGUGAGGGGGGGUCGGGGUAUAGCGUAGUGGGUUGAAGUGGAGAGGGUGAAAAGGCGUAUUUAAAGGGAUUAGGAUACCGUUUUCAGCGAAACGGCGCAGGGGAGGGGGGGGAAUGGUAGGGGGGGAGAAGCCCCUCCUACUCUAUUAUGGAUAUGCCCGAUGUAUUUUAGGACAGCACUUCGAGGGAAAAAGAUAUUCCCCUCGAA